rnacentral:lncRNA from 1 species
AAAAUAUACAAAACAGAGCAAAUGCUGCAAAACAAAGAUCUCAGGGACCUGCGCGUUCUCUGCAGCAGGAGGCACGUAUUGCACGUUACUCCCAGACCUGCCGAGCCUGUGCCUGGUGGGAGCUUCCCAGUUGCUGCAGUCCCUCCUGCUUCUGCAAGAACUGAGGUCCCUGGAAGGAGCCCUGACAAGGUUACCUUGCAGCUGCUUCAUACACAGGCUCUUACAGGAGGAGCCAGCCUGGACUCCAUAGUGAGUUCAAGGCCAGCCUGAACUACAUAGCAAGACCCAGUCUCAAAAACAAACAGCAAAUGAAAACCCCAUCAUGGUUGAAUAUUGUCACAUGACAAAGAAGC